GUAACACGUAGUCAACCUGCCCUGGAGACAUGGACAACCCCGGGAAACUGGGAUUAAUCCGUGAUAGGUCAUCUCAUCUGGAAGGAGAGAUGGCUUAAAGGGGUACGCGGGCUUCUUCUGCGUAUCUGCUCCAGGAUGGGACUGCGUCCGAUCAGGCUGUUGGCGGGGUAAUGGCCCACCAAACCUGUAACCGGUACGGGCCUUGGGAGAGGUGGCCCGGAGAUGGACACUGAGAGAAGGGUCCAGGUCCUACGGGGCGCAGCAGGCGCGAAACCUUCGCAAUGCGCGAAAGCGUGACGAGGUUAAUCCGAGUGGCCCCCGCUGAGGGGGUCUUUUGUCAGCUGUAAAUAGGCAGGCGAAUAAGGGGAGGGCAAGCCUGGUGUCAGCCGCCGCGGUAAUACCAGCUCCUCGAGUGGUCGGGGCGAUUAUUGGGCCUAAAGCAUCCGUAGCCGGUUCCGUAGGUCCUCUGUUAAAUCCAGCCGCUUAACGGUUGACAUGCAGAGGAUACCGCGGGACU
rnacentral:rRNA from 1 species